rnacentral:rRNA from 1 species
GACAGAGGGUGCAAACGUUGUUCGGAAUUACUGGGCGUAAAGCGCGUGUAGGCGGCCCUGCAAGUCGGAUGUGAAAUCCCACGGCUCAACCGUGGAAGUGCAUUCGAAACUGCAGGGCUAGAGCCUGGAGAGGAAGGUGGAAUGCUUGGUGUAGAGGUGAAAUUCGUAGAUAUCAAGCGGAACACCGGUGGCGAAGGCGGCCUUCUGGACAGUGACUGACGCUGAGACGCG